rnacentral:rRNA from 1 species
GACGAACGCUGGCGGCGUGCCUAAUACAUGCAAGUUGAGCGCUGAAGGUUGGUACUUGUACCAACUGGAUGAGCAGCGAACGGGUGAGUAACGCGUGGGGAAUCUGCCUUUGAGCGGGGGACAACAUUUGGAAACGAAUGCUAAUACCGCAUAAAAAUUUUAAACACAAGUUUUAAGUUUGAAAGAUGCAAUUGCAUCACUCAAAGAUGAUCCCGCGUUGUAUUAGCUAGUUGGUGAGGUAAAGGCUCACCAAGGCGAUGAUACAUAGCCGACCUGAGAGGGUGAUCGGCCACAUUGGGACUGAGACACGGCCCAAACUCCUACGGGAGGCAGCAGUAGGGAAUCUUCGGCAAUGGACGAAAGUCUGACCGAGCGACGCCGCGGGAGUGAAGAAGGUUUUCGGAUCGUAAAACUCUGUUGGUAGAGAAGAACGUUGGUGAGAGUGGAAAGCUCAUCAAGUGACGGUAACUACCCAGAAAGGGACGGCUAACUACGUG